CUGCGCCUGGCGUAACACUCUUGUCUUGAUUCAUCUAAGGAGUGAUAAGUGCCACGAGUCUGCCUCUACACGGCCCAGACUCCUACGGGAGGCAGCAGUGGGGAAUUUUCCGCAAUGGGCGAAAGCCUGAUGGAGCAAUGCCGCGUGGAGGUGGAAGGCCUACGGGUCGUCAACUUCUUUUCUCGGGCUCUUUCUUACAACUUACAAUACAAGAGUUUCUUACAG
rnacentral:ncRNA from 1 species